rnacentral:rRNA from 1 species
CUACGGGUGGCAGCAGUGGGGAAUAUUGGACAAUGGGGGAAACCCUGAUCCAGCAAUGCCGCGUGUGUGAAGAAGGCCUGCGGGUUGUAAAGCACUUUCGGUUGGGAGGACUGCUUCUAGCACUAAUAUUGUUGGAAGUUGACGUUACCUUCAGAAGAAGCACCGGCUAACUCCGUGCCAGCAGCCGCGGUAAUACGGAGGGUGCAUGCGUUAAUCGGAAUUACUGGGCGUAAAGCGCGCGUAGGCGGCUAGAUCAGUCGGGUGUGAAAGCCCCGGGCUUAACCUGGGAACUGCAUCCGAUACUGUCUAGCUUGAGUACAGGAGAGGAGAGUGGAAUUCCGCAUGUAGCGGUGAAAUGCGUAGAUAUGUGGAGGAACACCAAUGGCGAAGGCAGCUCUCUGGCCUGAUACUGACGCUGAGGUGCGAAAGCGUGGGGAGCAAACAGGAUUAGAUACCCGCGUAGUC